GAGAGAUGGCGCGAGUGUCGCGAUUAUCAUCACUGGGCGACCCUAGCGCUGCGCCUAUACAUUCGGCCCGACUCGGCGCCGCUCGGUGCCCGUCCGUAGGUCACGUAGAUCGCGACGCGACGGCUCACGAAGGUAGACGAAGCCGCGGCUGUGUGCCGCCAGCGUCGCCACUGUCGCUAACCGCCGCCGCCGCCGCCCGUGAACAUCGUCGAUAUGAUCCCUCGCGCCGUCGAAAUUAAUCUCUACCUUUCUCGGUAAUAAUAGGAACGAUUGUUGCGCAUAAAAGAGUUCCACGUAAGCAUACAGACCGAUCGGUCACGAUUGACAUUAUUUUAUUUUGCGAUUAGUCUGAGUACGGCAACACUUUUCACAUAUCCGUGGCGUCGAGGAUCAAAAUUUACGUAUUAAUUUCAAAUAAAGUUACAUAAUUCGGCAAUGAGCCCACGAGCUCAGUCAUUUUAUUACGAUAAAUCGGUGUGUUUGAUUGAGAUCAGUCGAGCGUUAGUUUUUCGAUUUCACUUCGAAACAUCGGGAAUCUGCUUGACUACGAUGCCUUCCGCCAUUUUUUAUGUCCGUUAAAGUGUCGUUCGGGCAAGUGCGCGAGGGAAGUGUCAGUACGCUAAAAUCGCACAUUAAUUAUACUUCCAUUUAGUGAGGGAGGGAGCCGCAAUAAUAAUGCUCGUAUCAUUUAUAUUUGCCGUGCCCGAGUGUGUUGGCGUACUCGAACGCACGUCCCGCGAAUGAUCAGUUAAUUACCGUCGAAUGCACCGGGGCGAUCGUCGUUUCGCUAUCCUUAAUUAAGGGGGAUAUGUGCAUGCGUGCGUAAUAAUUCAUCAAUAGACUUAUCGUAUGGACGACGGACGGCCAAUAAUAUUAGAGAGGGGCUGAAUAGCGAAAGUAUAUAUUUCGCAUUUGCGUUAAUUUGCAAAGAGUUCCACGACGAUGGGAAUUUCCGGUCAUUUCCGGUCGAUAUCGAUUGGCGAUCCCGCGUUUCUAGAUUACGACAUAGAUCGCGCGAAUAGCGUCGCGCGAAACCGCCAUGUUGGCUUCUUGAAUUUUUCAGUUGCUCCACCGUGGGCGUGCAGAGGACACCGCGGUCGGCUUCGUCAUCACGGGCAUCGCGGGUUUUUUUUGCACGACGCGUCUGCGUACGCUCGUCGUUCGUUUCUUCAUCUGGACGAUUACGUAGGUAAUUUUAUAUAGAUAACGGUAAACACUGUAUGCGAUGUGCUCAAGACACGUCCGAUGUCGCUUUUCGUCUCGCUUUCGAGGCGUCCAAGUAGUUAAUGUCGAUCGGUAGUAUCGAGAUGGAUUCGCGCGAUCAUGAUUUCUCUAUCCUCAAUUAAGGAUACGCGUGAGAGCGUAAUGAGCAAUCGACAGGCGCUGUAGUGAGAAGGGAUUAAUCGGUGGAAGGAAGGGGACGGAGGAUAAACGACCAUGAAAGUCGCCCCGCAGUGGGUUUGCACGGCGGAAGUCGACAUGGUGCGAUUUGCGCAAGAUGGAGCACGUACUGUGUACAUACGUACAAGCAGGUAUACGUCACGACUUGGAUUAGCGUCGUGAAACUGCCAUCUUGGUUUUUUGAGUUUGCUCGGUUGCGGGGGUAAAUACGCGUGUGUAACGUCGCGUUUUCAUCAUUUCAUCAUGUUCGUCGUGUGCGUAUGCGGGCGACACGUCUGGAGCACAAAGUGCGUGUCGCGAGUCUCGCGGGGUGCAUGUUUCGCAAUCCGUGCAGUUUUCCACUCGUGUGUGGAAUGUGUUGUGGCGGUAUAACGAAGCGGCGCGUACGACGAUUAUGGUGGGAACGCACACACGUCGGCCGCGAACGGUGAAUAAAUUCAUUUAGUGGUCACAUUGGUUAAUUAUUCGCGCCUAUUUGCGAUGAUCAGAUGCACCGCCGGCUGGUUGAUCGUCAGAAAUGUCAUAAAAGCUACGCUCUUUGGAAAAAUAUCAGGAAUUUGAAGACUGGAUUUUUGCGUGCCGCUGCCAAAAAAAUGGCUAACGAAACAUGGUAUCCUUCAGAGGAUAAUCCUUGCUGUCAACUUUUUUAGAGAGGGAAAUCAAGUCUUUCUGUUUCAACUUGCUUUUAUAUAUCUGCUUUUGCAUGGUUAAUAAAUGAAUUUGAAGACUGGAUUUUUGCGUGCCGCUGCCAAAAAAAAUGGCUAACGAAACAUGGUAUCUUUCAGAGGAUAAUUCUUGCUGUCAACAACUUUUUUAGAGAGGGAAACCAAGUCUUUCUGUUUACCGUCUGAAAGGCAAAAAGACAGCUGGAUCUUUAAAUCUCCAUGGAACUGCCUCUCGGUGGCAUAGCAGUCACAGUAUUUGGUGAGUGAAAAUAUAAAUUAUUGUACAAGAUUAAUUGCAUGUAUUAGAUUAUACAGUGAUUUUUAUUUUAUAUUGUUGCCAAAAGAAAAUGAAUGCGAAAGAAAUUGAUAUAUAUUACUAAUUGCAUAUAUCACGUACAUAUAAUAAUUGAUAUUAAUUUAAAUUAUUGCGUUCUUUUCAAUUACAUACAUAGAUUAUUAACAAUUUACAAUGUUGUAAUAAUAAUUUGUGAUCUUGCGCGGAAAUUUUGUAUGUUAUUUACUGUAGCAUAUAAUCAUGCAAUUAAUUGUAUUUUCUUUUUUGGGAGCUUGUUCGAAAUGCUGGUUUAAAAAUAUUUGUGAAUAAUGCGAACUUUAAACUGAAGUCUAAAUUGAAAUUGCAUACAGAAAAAUAGUAAUUAAUUCAAUGAAAUGUGUAGUUGCGGACUGUCAACUACAGAUGUAUUCAAUAUAAUAAUAUGUACUAUUGCAAUGUCAAUAUUGUACUUACAUUAACAGCAAAUAUUAUUGUAUUGAGUACAUCUUGCCUGCAACUACACAUUUUGUUGAAUCAAUUACUUUUUUCUUCGUGCAUAAAUUUAAUUCUAUUCUUUUCUUGUUGAUUCUUUAUUCAACAAAAGUUUUAUUAAUAUUGCUCGAGCAACGUAAAAUAUUUACAGUUUAUUUUUAUUGUCCGUUAUUGUUAUUUAAUUUUUUGGAACUUAUCAGUUUCCGAUGUAAUGUAAGCACUUGUUAAAGAUUGCGUUUCGUUCGAAAACAUUUCCCGAGAUUCAUCUGAUUAUAUAAACUUGCGUUUUAUUGGUUCUGCGAUGUUUUUCGGAAUCUCUUUCUUUCUCCAACUGAAGCUUGGCGCACAAGCGAAUCAUAUAUCGCGACACACAUAUCAGAUCGCCACCGUCGAUUCUUUCGUUCCUAUUUCAGGGAAAUACAUUGCCCCUCGUUUUCUAGGCGCGUUGUAAAGUCGUGACGUUAUCUGCAACAAGCUGAACUGACUUUGUCUGUGAUAUCAUCUCGAAUUUCGUUCCGGCGGGACGACGCUCGUACAAAUUUCUCUUAUCUAUGCUAUAAAAACCGAUAAGAGUAUCGCGCAAUUUUUUCUGACUUUCUAUCUGCGGUAAUAUAUAAAUUCAUUUUAGAGUAUGGACGAUGAUUUCAUAAUAUUGCGGUUUCAGUAAUUUUAAGCGUGUUGAUAUAUACACAGAAUUUUUAUAUUUAUACAAGACAUUUCACACUUUUUAAAACUUUAGUGAUGAAUUCUCUUUAGUCACAUAUGUAGAUUUUAGUACAAGUUUUAAAAAAAGCUUAAUUUACUUUUAUUAAUUUAAUAUGACACGGUAGUGUCUCUAACUUUUUUAUGAACAUAGAGAGAGAGAGAGAGAGAGAGAGAGAGAGAGAGAGAGAGAGA
rnacentral:lncRNA from 1 species